AGAGCUGCACCCCUACCCGUGUCAUGAAUGCCCUGCUGGUCGGUGGGCUGAGCCACCGUAACGCUGCGGUGAGGAGCUGCACUGCUCAGCACCUGGAGAGACUGGCUGAGGUCAUGGGGAUGGCUCGUCUCCUGUCGGGGAAGAAAGACCUCACUGACCGUUUCUUGAUUGCCGUCAGUAAACUGGCUGUGGACCCUGCACAGGAAGCCAGGCAUCAUGGUCGCAAUAUCUUGAGAAACCUGGC